GUCUACGGCCAUGCUACCCUGAAUACGCCUGAUCCCAUCUGAUCUCAGAAGCUAAGCAGAGUUGGGCCUGCUUAGUACUUGGAUGGGAGACCACCUAGGAAGACCAGGUGCUAUAGGCG
rnacentral:rRNA from 1 species